rnacentral:sRNA from 1 species
UUUCCUUUGGGGAAGAGGAAGGCGCUAGAAGGAGACGGGGAGGGAAAGAUAGAAAAGCUUCUUGCCAGGAAGGGUCAGGUGUCUGUCCCUGACGCCCUUCCCACAUGGGCAUGGGAAAGACGCCAUGCUCCUGUUGGCCACAUGCCAGCAAAGAGGUGUUGCAAUCGUCUCCGGGAAACUUGGGUCUUAGUCCCACGUCCUCCUCCCCCUCUCUGUGGCCACUGCCGCAAACAGCCAUUCAGUGUCCACCAAUGGCUACAAGCUUCCCUCUUCCCGGACUGUGGGAACGCACGUGGUGUAGCAGCUGAAAAAACUUCGUCGGAAGUGGGGGUAUGACUGUAUAUGAAGUGGGUUUAUGGUUUAAAGCAAGAAGUGGGAAUGAAUUUGAUCGUAAGAAGUCCUUGGAGAAGUAUUUGUGGAAUUACGAAACUUUUUAAACUACAUUGGAAAGUAAAAAUAACCUUCAUCCUGGAUUGAGCCACCAAAGUCCUUGGCACUGUCAAAUGGUUCAACGUCAGAAAUGGAUAUGGAUUUAUAAAUCGAAAUG